UACGGGGGGGGCAAGCGUUGUUCGGAAUUACUGGGCGUAAAGGGCUCGUAGGCGGCCAACUAAGUCAGACGUGAAAUCCCUCGGCUUAACCGGGGAACUGCAUCUGAUACUGGAUGGCUUGAGAUUGGGAGAGGGAUGCGGAAUUCCAGGUGUAGCGGUGAAAUGCGUAGAUAUCUGGAGGAACACCGGUGGCGAAGGCGGCAUCCUGGACCAACACUGACGCUCAUGCACGAAAGCGUGGGGAGCAAACAGG
rnacentral:rRNA from 1 species